GACGUAGGUAGAUUCUGGUAGUCCUGGCUUCUGGUAGGUUGCUUGUAGGUGAUAGACAGUCCUCUCCAGCCUGGUGUCAGUAUCCCAUUGGUUCUCGACAGAGUUCUUUGUCUUUGGAGCCCCUCCCGAAGGCUUUUGAGUGUGUGCGUGUAUUUAUGGGUUUUCAGUGUGUAUAUUAUCUUAGUCAGCCACCCGUGUGGGGGUUUCCAGUGUAGUUAGUAUAUAGAGAAACAGAGAGAGAGGGAAGGUAUAACACAGAGUACAAGCCAUGAUUGCAUAGUUAAGCCCAGGCAGACAACAGUCAGUGAAUGCGUUAUUACAUGUUUUAAUAUGUUAUUACAAUAUCACCCGGGAGUCCUUUUUUUAAAUUACUUGCCGGUGGAGCUGGGCUUUCAAAUGUGGCUUUGACUCAAUGAAGAUGCUUUUCCAACCAUCUACCCGGACGGCGAGACUGUUUCUAGCAGAAGAGAGAUUGCUCCCAGGCAGACCCGCCACAGGCUUGUAAUUUCUCUGCGCAAGCAUCCCACAAAGGAGGAGCAAGCCACCCAGUUCCAGCCAAAACACAAGAGCGUGUCUUCAAAUACAGCAACACUGGUGUGCAUUCCUGAAAUCUCAGCUCCUUGCAGUCCUCAGCUCCUUGGACUUUUCCAACGAUGACUCCAGUUGUCACCCUGAUGAUGACACAAACACCAUCUGCGAUGCCAAACUAGUGCUGUCUACACACUCAUUCAAGUAUAGUGAAGGACUGCUGUGCUGCAUGAGACCAGAUGGACAGAGGCUGAGGCAGUGGUUGUAAUUGCAAUAAAUACAGUUUUUAAAAUAUUUAUAUCCUUCAAAUAAAGUAAAGAUGUUUACACAA